AUUGAACGCUGGCGGCAGGCCUAACACAUGCAAGUCGAGCGAGCGGCGGACGGGUGAGUAAUGUAUGGGGAUCUGCCCGAUAGAGGGGGAUAACUACUGGAAAGGUGGCUAAUACCGCAUACUAUUGUAGCGGCCGAUAUCUGAUUAGCUAGUUGGUGGGGUAACGGCUCACCAAGGCGACGAUCCGUAGCUGGUUUGAGAGGACGACCAGCCACCAUUGGAUUGAGACACGGCCCAGACGCCUACGGGAGGCAGCAUUGGUGAAGUUUGGACAAUGGGGGAAACCCUGAUCCAGCCAUCCCGCGGGUGCGAUGAUGGCCUUCUGGUUGUAAAGCACGUUGGGCAGGAAAGCGGUACCGGCAGAAUAAGCACCGGCUAACUACGUGCCAGCCGCCGCGGUAAUAC
rnacentral:rRNA from 1 species